UUUGAAAGGAAAAGCAGAAAAAAUACUAGUUAAGAUUUUCCCCUGUUUCUCCUGAAUCAGGCCAGUUUCCAUGGUUCUGGAUAAAUAUAGUAGGACAAUUUUUGUUAAGAAUAGAAGCCACUCCGUGGGUGGAAUUUGUAUCAUAUACAGAUACAAAUUUAGGUUUGUU